CCUACGGGGGGCAGCAGUGGGGAAUAUUGGACAAUGGGCGCAAGCCUGAUCCAGCAAUGCCGCGUGUGUGAAGAAGGCCUUCGGGUUGUAAAGCACUUUAAGCAGGGAAGCGGUACCUGAAGAAUAAGCACCGGCUAACUCUGUGCCAGCAGCCGCGGUAAUACAGAGGGUGCGAGCGUUAAUCGGAUUUACUGGGCGUAAAGCGUGUGUAGGUGGUUAUCCAAGUCGGUUGUGAAAUCCCUGGGCUCAACCUGGGAACUGCUUCCGAGACUGGAUGACUAGAGUACGGUAGAGGGUGGUGGAAUUUCCGGUGUAGCGGUGAAAUGCGUAGAUAUCGGAAGGAACAUCAAUGGCGAAGGCAGCCACCUGGCUGUACUGACACUGAGACACGAAAGCGUGGGGAUCAAACAGGAUUAGAUACCCUUGUAGUC
rnacentral:rRNA from 1 species